UUCAGGAUCAGGGAUUAGCGACAACGAAAAUAGUCGGAAAAUUACGCGUCAGUUAAAAUAAGCUUACCGAAAAUUUUGAGUUAGUUCCAAAAACGGGGACUACUUCGGAAAGCAAAAGGGAGAUAAUAUUAUACUCAGUGGUGGCGUUUUUAAGACACACUUCACAGACGGCGAUGAGUGAGCAAGUGGCACAAGCAGACACGACAGAACAGCUGAGAGGAACCGUUCCAACAAUACAGCUCAUCUGGGUAUAGCCCCAAAAAUAACAUACACCUUUUCUCGUGCAUUAUGCAAGCUUGGCAAUGCCAAAACGCGAAAGUCGCGUUGCAUCCGCGACUUCAUCUAAGACCAAGUUGACACAUGGUAAUAGUAUUAUAAUUAGCGCAAAUAUUUGGAUCAUGGGAUCACCGGGACAACAAAAGUUCAACGUGAAGCGACGAAGGUCAAUCAGAGGAAAAAUCACGGUUCCUGCUCACCUGUUCUACUACUAGCAGCGCAACCCCACCGAAACAUAUCGCAUGCAAAAAAGAACAUCACACAACAAACAGACAAGGCUUACAUUUUAAAUUUGAAGAUUAAAAAAAAUGUGCUGCAAUUUUCGGUAAAUAUAGUGCAAAUUGAAAGUGGAGUACCGACACAAAUUAAAUUAGUUGCCAUUAUAUAAGAUAAGAAACACGCAAGCGCAGGAGACGUCGCAAAAGCAGAAAUUAGGAUAAAUCUAACAACAUUUAAAGCGUUUGCCACUAGAUGACACUUCGAGUUGGAAAAUUUCUCCGACAAAAUCAACCAUUCACAGUUCGAAAAAAAUGAUCUCAUCCAAAAAUUUUCCAGAAAAUUAUUCUUUUAACAGGAAAAAAAGAUCAGAUAAUAAAGAAACGGAAAAAUUGGCAGUCCUGUCCACAGCAAAGAAGACUCAAUGUUGUAUUUACUGCUGAUCCACACAGAAGUCGUAAUCAAAGGCAAUACAAACAAUGACUGGAAAUACAUCGCGUAUUUGUAAAUCUUCUCCACGGUUUUGUUACCAAUGCUGUUCCAUCUCUCCAUUCCGAUGAUCGACGUUACCGCAACUGUUGCAUACGUCAUUUCCUGCCAAAAUUGCGUGCGAUUCAACGAAGCAACGACUAGGGCCCAUUUUAAAUCAAAGUGACUUCUUUUGUACAAAAACUUUAGUUUGCCGUUCUGGGAAUCCAAAAAUAAAGAUAAUUUACUAUUCUAAUUUUUAAUUUUGAACGAAAUGACAAAAAAAUGUCAAAAACUAUAACCCAGGUAUGUUUAUCUUAACAUAAUUUUUUCACACGCUGUCUCCUAAUAACAAUUACUAUGCCACCUAAAACGUUUUGAUUAUACAGCAUAAUGGUGUUCACAAUAAGAUGUCUUGACAAUAAUAAUAAUAAUAAUAAUAUUAAGUGUUUUGGGUGUUUUGUAGCUAAUAGACAAAAAAAAUACAAGUAUAAUCCAUUUCAUUGAAAUUGGCAUAACAGUAGGCCAUGAUUGUGUAAA